rnacentral:misc_RNA from 1 species
UCGUAAUCGGCUAUGGCAGCCUU